ACAGAGGGGGCAAGCGUUGUUCGGAAUUACUGGGCGUAAAGGGCGCGUAGGCGGCCUUCUAAGUCGAACGUGAAAUCCCCGGGCUCAACCCGGGAACUGCGUCCGAUACUGGAAGGCUUGAAUCCGGGAGAGGUGAGUGGAAUUCCCAGUGUAGCGGUGAAAUGCGUAGAUAUUGGGAGGAACACCAGUGGCGAAGGCGGCUCACUGGACCGGUUCUGACGCUGAUGCGCGAAAGCGUGGGGAGCAAACGGGA
rnacentral:rRNA from 1 species